UUUCGAAUUAAUUUUGAUUACUUAAACUAGUGUAAUUUUAUUUGAUUUAAUUUGUUUCUAAAUCAUUUUUACACUAAUAAGCUCAUUAAGAGCAUUUUGGUAUUAUUAAAAAUUAGAAAACCCUAGUGUACCAUAUAAAUACUAACAAUUGGUAUUGAAAGGGGACCAACCAUAAACUAUUGAACAACGUUGCAAUCUCAAUGUCUCUUUCUUAUUCAUUUUAAACUACAACAAAAAGAAUUUAGAAAAAAAACAAUGAAC
rnacentral:lncRNA from 1 species